AAAAUGACUAUUUCUCUCAAAUAUUGUUCACUGAUUUGCCUAAAUUUGUGAUGCUGAUGCUGAUUGGACAGCAUGAGUAUUGCACAGGUGUGCCUCAGACUGGCCACAGUAAAAGGCCUCUCUGAAAUGUGCCGUUUUUUAAAAUUUUAGCAUUAUUAUUAUUUUCUUUUUAUUAGCGGAGUGUUGACAUUAUGCAACUACUACCCCCUACUGGUCAGUUAAAGAGUUGUAGGUCUUAAAGUUCAUUUUUGUUCAGUUUAACUUUCAUCAGAUGUAGCGCUUCAGUUGAAGUGGACAUAGGAAUAGUUUUCUCCUCACGUGUAAUCCUGGAAGUAGAUUUAUCUGUAUGUACAAAUGUGUAAUUUAGGUUCAAAUUUAUGCUUUUGGUGAUUAAUAGUCAAAGACAAAUAUUGUUGCUGUUUGGAUGUAAAUGCUGAUGCUAAUUUUAGAGAUAAAUUACUGUGAACGCUGCAAAUCUUUAUUUUGUCAUUUUGAUUUAAGUUAUUGAUUGGAUAAGAAACUCAUACAUUGUGUUGUCUUAUUCAGUUUUACCAAAAAAAAAGGAAAAAGAACGAAAAAAUAGAAACCACUAGUAAAAGUACAUCUUUUCAAACUCACAUUUUUCUUGGACCUCUUUUGUAUUUGUUAUCUGUCUAGCCUCUCUCAGAAACGCAUUUGUGCGGACAGAGUAGGCGGGGUCUGGGCACUCAGAAUCAGUGUCUGGUGUGACCACCAUUUGCCUCAAUGCAUAAACAUCUCGUUUGUAUUGAGCAAAACCAAAAGUGCUGCAUUCAUUCAGUGUAGUUCGGCAUUAGUAAAAUAUAAAAAUACUCAUAAAAAUGAUCAAAUUUAAAUGUCUGCAAAAGAUGGUUUCCACAUUAAGAAGGUUUAUUUAUUGAUUUUAAUCUUAGCUAACGAAAUAUGAAAUCAGGAGAUAAAAUGUGUUCAUUUUGCACAGUCUUUACUAAGUUUUUAAAGUACUUUGACUCUGGUAAGUUUGUACUAUCCAUAUACUGGUUAGGAAUUGUUGGUAAAUGGAGGAUUUUAUUACACAAUCAACCUUGAACAAUUUAUUUAAAGAAUCCCAUGCUGUAUUUUAAUCGAGGUAGAGCUGUCCUUUUUUCCUCACCUUGACUGGUUUCUGCUUAAGCCUCUUAAAGUUGUUAGUUGGUCCGACUAUUUCAGUCGGUGAGUGCUUAUCAUUCACAGAGCACCAUUGUAAUUAAACAGGUGGCCUUCGCUUCUGUCACCAUGCUGCACAGCUUGCAUUAAAGCUUCUCCAAAGCCAACUUUCUGAAGCCACAAAAAAAGAAAAAUCCAUAUCAGAUCUUCUUCAUGAUCUCCAGAUUCGGAUGAUAUGAAAUGUCCUUAAAUUAGUCAAAAAACUAAAUUGGUUUGAAAAAAAACAAACAAAAAAAACAAAACCCAAAAAUGUCUCUCUGAUAUUUAGUGGUUCACGUUGGUUUUUGACAUCUAGAUGUUUCCGUUUUCUCCUGUAUUUUCAACAGCAGCAUCAACAGAAGAAGUUCCUGAUGUGUCCUGUCCAGCAGCUGAACAGACAGAAGAUGAGAGCUGCUUCUACUGGACAGAGCUCCAGUGUGGCAGCACAUGCAGGUGUACAGGAUCCUCCAGACACCCCUUGGAGAAGAAGCCAAGAAACUCCCCCACCCCCCCGGACAGCCGCACACCAGAAACCCAGAGGCGGUACCUGGGGGAUCACCGCGGGAGCCCCCGCUGCCACAGAGCACGUGGGUGUAGGAGCAUGAAGGGCAUGAGCCCCACCUUGGGAAGAAAACAGCCCCAGGAUGCUCGCGGGUGGCGUGGGGCAGGAGGCGUGGCUCUCACUACCUGGUGGCCUUGCACACCUGCUUCCCAUCUUUAAUGGAUGCACCUUUAAAAGCCUCUCCCUGGCUCCUCCAACCUGCCACGUUAUUUACGCUGAGUUCGGCUCCUUCCUGGUUCAAGUGAAAGCUUUUCGUCGGCCGAGCUCCCUGCCUCCACUACCAGUGUGCUUCUGUUCUUUGUUUUUGUGUUUGUGAGGCUAAUAAACCUUCACUGCUGUUCCAUCUCACCUGUCUGUCCACUCAUCACAACAGAAACAAGAGAUCCUUUGACUUAAAAGAAAAAAGAAAACUGAAUUUAUUAGACAAAAAACAGGAGUCAUUACCUCAAAUCAGGAUUAAUUACAACAGUUGUACCCGCAGACCAUAAUAACGUAUGAUAAUCAGCUGUCUGAUGUUAUGAGGAUGCUGCUAAUAAAG